rnacentral:ncRNA from 1 species
GGCCGGUCCGCCUCACCGCGUGCACUGGUCCGGCCGGGCCUUUCCCUCUGUGGAACCGCAUGCCCUUCACUGGGUGUGCCGGGGAAACAGGACUUUUACUUUGAAAAAAUUAGAGUGCUCCAGGCAGGCCUAUGCUCGAAUACAUUAGCAUGGAAUAAUAGAAUAGGACGUGUGGUUCUAUUUUGUUGGUUUCUAGGACCGCCGUAAUGAUUAAUAGGGACAUCGGGGGCAUCAGUAUUCAAUUGUCAGAGGUGAAAUUCUUGGAUUUAUUGAAGACUAACUACUGCGAAAGCAUUUGCCAAGGAUGUUUUCAUUUAUCAGGAACGAAAGUUAGGGGAUCGAAGACGAUCAGAUACCGUCGUAGUCUUAACCAUAAACUAUGCCGACUAGGGAUCGGACGAUGUUAUUUUUUGACUCGUUCGGCAC